rnacentral:rRNA from 1 species
UACGUAGGGUGCGAGCGUUGUCCGGAAUUACUGGGCGUAAAGAGCUCGUAGGUGGUUUGUCGCGUUGUUCGUGAAAACUCACAACUCAAUUGUGGGCGUGCGGGCGAUACGGGCAGACUGGAGUACUGCAGGGGAGACUGGAAUUCCUGGUGUAGCGGUGGAAUGCGUAGAUAUCAGGAGGAACACCGGUGGCGAAGGCGGGUCUCUGGGCAGUAACUGACGCUGAGGAGCGAAAGCGUGGGGAGCGAACAGG